UUACGGUCAAAUCACGCUGAAAAACACCGGUUCUCGUUCGAUCACCGUUAAGCAUCGUGGCCAGGUCAGUACUUUGAUGGGGACCGCUUGGGAACACCUAAUG
rnacentral:rRNA from 1 species